UGACACUCAUCUUCUCUGACGACUCUGG
rnacentral:piRNA from 1 species